CAAAAAUGGGGAUUAAAAACACCUACCUCAUAGAAUUGUUUUGAAGCUGAAAUGAGAAAAAAAAAAGUGUCCGGGAUACACCCCAGAUCUCUCUGCAACUGGCCUAGAAAACAGUGAGAGCUCCCAGGUCACCAGCACACAGGGACAGAUACUCUUGACCCUGCUUGUGACAGCAUUGCAAACACAUGCCUGACAUACUUUGGAAAGACUGUCUGGUGCUAUUACUGGGCUUCCUAGGUGGUACAGUGGUUAAGAAUCAGCCUGCCAAUGCAGGGGACACGGGUUCGAUCCCUGCUCCAGGAAGAUCCCACAUGCUGUGGAGCAAAUAAGCCCGUGCGCUACAACUAUUGAGCCUGUGUUUUAAGCCCGUGAGCCACAACUAUUGCACCCACGUGCUGCAACUACUGAAGCCCAUGCGCCUAGAGCCCGUGCUCUGCAAUGAGAGAAGACACAGCAGUGAGGAGCCCCGCGCACUGCAAAGAAGAGUAGCCCCUGCUCGCCGCAACUAGAGAAAGCCCGUGUGCAGCAACAAAGACCCAACA